CAUGGCUUCAAAUGAUGCAACAUUUAAGCUUUUCUAAUAAAAAUUUUAGAUUCUCAUUAAAUAGUUUAAUAUAGUUUUAAUUGGUGCAAAUAUGAUUUAAAGUUUAAAAUUUUUGUAAUGCAUUGAACUUUUGCAAAUAGCAGAGUUUUAGUGAGAAAUAGGAAUUGAUACUAUUUUGAUGGUCUUGGUGGUGUUUGGAGAGUCAUAGAGUGUUUUUGGCAUGAAAUGACACAAAAACAGACUUCAGAGGAUAAAAUAUAUAAAACUAUAGAUCUGUUGUUACCAAUACUGUAAAUGGAGUACCAGUACCUAGUUGUGGGAUGACUAG
rnacentral:lncRNA from 1 species